CAGGAUGUGUUGGAUUCUUUGCAGAGAAAGCCUGCAAGAUGCCUGGAGCUAGCAAUGAGGAGACACUACUGCUGCAUCUAAGGUCCUGCAGUCCUUGCAGAGAGAAGACUGAAAGACCAUGCAUGCUGAGUUGGGGUAGAACAAGAGCCACAGGAGUUCCAAGGACACCACCAAGCUUUCAGCCUGAGAACAAGCCCCAAACUGUGACCUGGGAAGGUGAAUAAAGCCAGUGGAAAACUGUAAGCUUCUGGCUUGAAGAACCAAAAGACGGAAUCCAGGGCAACCAAAGCUGCUGGAAAGUGAAGAGAAAAUCCUGAAAAGGAAAGAAUCAGAGAGAAAAAGCCCCAGAUUCUGCCCAAAUCAUUAAAUGAUCUCUGAAUCAUGUGUGCACAAGAAAUUGACUUUUAAAAAAAUCAAUACUCUUCAGUGGAACAUAACAGAAUCCAGAGUUUCUAUAACAUUUUUCAUAAUGUCUGAAA